rnacentral:lncRNA from 1 species
CUCCUAAAAAACACACAUCAAAUAAAAUCAGUACAAUUUAUGCCUAGCUAUUACUGUUAGUCGUUGCUUAUUGAUUAACAAAAGCCAUCAUCCUUCCUACGAAUUUCACACACAAUAAUUAACGAGGAUUACUAUUUGGUACGAGACGAAACAAUAAGAAUCAACUUGACACGUGUAAAAAAGGUAAAAACAGAAAUCAGGGAUGAGAUAAAAAAGCAUAAUUUAGUAAAGUAACUGCAUAAAAGGCUGAAUUUACUCUUCGUACUGAUUAGCAUUUCCCAUAAUUAAUUAUCCGGCUGCUAUAUAUUAUAUUAUAUAAUCAUAUAAUGUAACCAAGUUGGCUAACCUAGUUGUGAGAAAUGGACACUUGGGUUGAGCUGAAGUGCUGAACCCAAAACAAACAAAUGUGGUCAUAUAUACUGUGUGACCAAUGAAGGUGCUACUUAUGUGGGCAAGUCAAUUUAACAACCAAAUAUCAUUGUUCAUUCAUAACUACUCCCACCAAACACUGCUUUAUCAUGCCUGGCAAAGGACAAAAUAUCCGCUACCCGAAAUUGUGGGGGCGUUGUUUACUUUUACUGGACCGCGCAAGCAUAUAUAUUUUUUUACCGUGACAGUAAACAGAGUAGUAGAAAAGAAAUAACGACCUUACCGGAAAACGGAGAAAUCGGAGUAGUAGAACCGGCGGGAGAAACCGGAGGCGAUCCACUCUGGUACCCGGGCGGUUUCACGAUCAUGAUACUACGCGUCACUCUCGUCGCUUCCUCCGACGAUUCGUCUCCGUACGAUCUCACGCUCCCGCCCUCCGUUUCUGAUCAUUAAUCAAUAAAUAUGCCUAAUCGUUAGCAGCAUAUUUUCAUGCUUUUUUCUUUAACGAAAAAAAAAAAGCGGCGAAAAAUAUCUAUGAGCGUUUCAGAUGCAACCAGGUAUCUCCAAAUUAAAGUUGUUAUGUUCAGGUUAUUUCAUCUCCCAAACUAUAUCAUCUUUUACUAUUAUUGCAUAUAGAUCAUGUGGAAAUGAUUUAGAAGAUUCGGAACUUGGAGGAUUCGAGCUUGAAAAGCAUGUUUAGGGUGUAGAUCUGACAGCAUGCAACCUAAAACACACAAAUCGGUCUCCGAUUCGAAGGUACGAGUGGUUAGAUUAUAAAAGAAUGAUAAUUAUGAUAAGAGUUGAGUUAACGAUUGUAGUUGUGGACUUGUAGUUAACGAAAAUCGUUGGUGAAUUAUAUGAGUAUGAUUAACGAGGCAGGGCGUACCCUUGCCGGAGCUAGGUCGGAAAGUGAAGGUGUGGUGUUUUCGGAGCUUGCCGAGACCGUUUUCCGGCCUUGGGCCGGCGACGGUGUCGUCCCACAAGUGGUCGAGGAGGCCCAUAUGGAUCAAGCGUAUUUUAGCAGAUCCGGCGUAUGGAGAUCCCAACGAUGACCAGAUCUCGGAGUAAGAGAUACAACUACGCCCCACAGAGGUCAUAUUUAACGAUGCCAGAGCGUUAAAAGUCGAACAACUUGUUGGGGUUAAGGGAGAUCUGAACCGUCGAUUGUGAUCAAAGUUGGAGCCUUUGACGUGGCCACAUGGAUCGGCGUUCACGUCGAGAUAAGGAUUGCUUAGCGUAUGGGCCCACAUUACUCGGGGAUUUUAAGGCUGAAGAAGAAGGAUGACACGUGACAUUACUUGUGGGUCACGUGACAAGUCAUUUUCUUUCUCGGGCUGAUUUUAUCUAAAUCGACAACAUGAGUCCUUCUUUCUCUUGUAUUUACAUAAGCUGACCUUAUGAUCUCUUCAUCUCUUAUCAUGCCUUCAAAUAGGAACAUUAGGACGCAGCUUUUUCUG